rnacentral:rRNA from 1 species
CGGGGGUGCAAGCGUUAAUCGGAAUUACUGGGCGUAAAGCGCACGCAGGCGGUUUGUUAAGUCAGAUGUGAAAUCCCCGGGCUCAAAUUGGGAACUGCAUUUGAAACUGGCAAGCUAGAGUCUCGUAGAGGGGGGUAGAAUUCCAGGUGUAGCGGUGAAAUGCGUAGAGAUCUGGAGGAAUACCGGUGGCGAAGGCGGCCCCCUGGACGAAGACUGACGCUCAGGUGCGAAAGCGUGGGGAGCAAACAGGAUUAGAUACCCUGGUAGUCAGGCCCGUCCUUGGGCCCCCCCUGCUAUGGCCCCCCCGAGGUUUUUUUCGCCUUUCCCC